AUGGCCGAAUGCUUCAAUAGGGUGCUCAAAGGUGCACGUGCAUUACCCGUGACGGCAAUAGUUCAAUACACAUUUGACAAGAUGAAUGCGUACUUUCUAAAGUACUCAAUGGAAACAGAUGCACAGAUAGCGGGUGAGAACAAGCGCAAGUACAAGUACAAGUUCCCACCCAAGGUUGAUGAAUGGUUGGAAUUUCAAUCAUGGAAGGCGGACUCACAAGAAGCUAUACUAUAUGACAACAAAGAUUGGAAGUAUGAAGUGAGAGAGCCAGGAGGAACCACAAACAAUGGCCGCCAACAUGGAGGUCGGUCUUUCAAGGUCUCGUUAACACGGUGUGAUUGAUCUUGCGGGAGGCCAUUGUUGCUUCAUCUCCCAUGCUCACACUUGUAUACCGCCGGUCACAUUAGGGUGGACGUCAAUCACGCCCUCUCUGUGAGGGAGUCGGAGUUCUUAAUCAUGACGGUCAAUAAUACAUGGGCUCCCCACUUUCACCCAUACUUUGACCAAUCACAGUGGCCGGAGUACCAUGGACUUCAACUAUGA
rnacentral:rRNA from 1 species